AGCUGAAAACGGAGAACGGAUAUCGAAUACACCGCAAGCACGAUACACGGCAUCCAUGUCGGGAUCGAAAAACGUUUAAUAAAAAGAUGACUGAACGAAGAACGAAUAAUUAAAUUACCCAAUACGCAGCACGAAAAUACCCCAUUACCCCCCUCUAGUAUGAAUUCGGCUAUUCAAAUUUAAGGGCUGCAUGGUAAACUAAAAAUAUAAACUCCUUAUAUGGAUAAACAUUAUAAAC